rnacentral:rRNA from 1 species
AGUGAACGCUGGCGGCAGGCCUAACACAUGCAAGUCGAACGGCAGCACAGUAAGAGCUUGCUCUUACGGGUGGCGAGUGGCGGACGGGUGAGGAAUACAUCGGAAUCUACUUUUUCGUGGGGGAUAACGUAGGGAAACUUAUGCUAAUACCGCAUACGACCUACGGGUGAAAGCAGGGGAUCUUCGGACCUUGCGCGACUGAAUGAGCCGAUGUCGGAUUAGCUAGUUGGCGGGGUAAAGGCCCACCAAGGCGACGAUCCGUAGCUGGUCUGAGAGGAUGAUCAGCCACACUGGAACUGAGACACGGUCCAGACUCCUACGGGAGGCAGCAGUGGGGAAUAUUGGACAAUGGGCGCAAGCCUGAUCCAGCCAUACCGCGUGAGUGAAGAAGGCCUUCGGGUUGUAAAGCCCUUUUGUUAGGAAAGAAAAGCUGCAGGUGAAUACCCCGCUGUUCUGACGGUACCCAAAGAAUAAGCACCGGCUAACUUCGUG